AUUGAACGCUGGCGGCAUGCCUUACACAUGCAAGUCGAACGGCAGCAUGAUCUAGCUUGCUCGAUUGAUGGCGAGUGGCGAACGGGUGAGUAAUACAUCGGAACGUGCCCUGUAGUGGGGGAUAACUAGUCGAAAGAUUAGCUAAUACCGCAUACGACCUGAGGGUGAAAGUGGGGGACCGCAAGGCCUCAUGCUAUAGGUGCGGCCGAUGUCUGAUUAGCUAGUUGGUGAGGUAAAGGCUCACCAAGGCGACGAUCAGUAGCUGGUCUGAGAGGACGAUCAGCCACACUGGGACUGAGACACGGCCCAGACUCCUAUGGGAGGCAGCAGUGGGGAAUUUUGGACAAUGGGCGAAAGCCUGAUCCAGCAAUGCCGCGUGUGUGAAGAAGGCCUUCGGGUUGUAAAGCACUUUUGUCCGGAAAGAAAUGGCUCUGGUUAAUACCUGGGGUCGAUGACGGUACCGGAAGAAUAAGGACCGGCUAACUACGUG
rnacentral:rRNA from 1 species